rnacentral:rRNA from 1 species
AACGAACGCUGGCGGCAUGCCUAACACAUGCAAGUCGAACGAGACCUUCGGGUCUAGUGGCGCACGGGUGCGUAACGCGUGGGAACCUGCCUUUAGGUUCGGAAUACCUCAGAGAAAUUUGAGCUAAUACCGGUUGAUGUCUUCGGACCAAAGAUUUAUCGCCUUUUGAUGGGCCCGCGUUGGAUUCGCUAGUUGGUGGGGUAAAGGCCUACCAAGGCGAGGAUCCAUAGCUGGUCUGAGAGGAUGAUCAGCCACACUGGAACUGAGACACGGCCCAGACUGCUACGGAGGGCAGCAGUAGGGAAUAUUAGGCGAGGGACGAAAGCCUGAUCCAGCAGUGCCGGGUGAGUGAUGAAGGCCUUAGGGUUGUAAAGCUCUUUUAGCCGAGAUGAGAAUGACGGUAUCGGGAGAAUAAGCACCGGCUAACUCCGUG